rnacentral:tRNA from 1 species
GAGGAUAUAGCUCAGUGGUAGAGUGCUUAUCUAGCAUGCACAAGGUCCGGGGUUCAAACCCCAGUACCUCCA